rnacentral:rRNA from 1 species
GAUGAACGCUGGCGGCGUGCCUAAUACAUGCAAGUCGAGCGAACGGACGAGAAGCUUGCUUCUCUGAUGUUAGCGGCGGACGGGUGAGUAACACGUGGAUAACCUACCUAUAAGACUGGGAUAACUUCGGGAAACCGGAGCUAAUACCGGAUAAUAUUUUGAACCGCAUGGUUCAAAAGUGAAAGACGGUCUUGCUGUCACUUAUAGAUGGAUCCGCGCUGCAUUAUCUAGUUGGUAAGGUAACGGCUUACCAAGGCAACGAUGCAUAGCCGACCUGAGAGGGUGAUCGGCCACACUGGAACUGAGACACGGUCCAGACUCCUACGGGAGGCAGCAGUAGGGAAUCUUCCGCACUGGGCGAAAGCCUGACGGAGCAACGCCGCGUGAGUGAUGAAGGUCUUCGGAUCGUAAAACUCUGUUAUUAGGGAAGAACAUAUGUGUAAGUAACUGUGCACAUCUUGACGGUACCUAAUCAGAAAGCCACGGCUAACUACGUG